UAAAUUUUUUUCAAGAAUUUGGAAGACACUAAGACCACCUCCAUUGGUGUAUCUAAAGAGGGGUUCUUAAUGUAAAGUGUGAAAAAAAUAAAUCAAAAAGACAUUAAUUAACAAGAACAUGUGCUUAGUCAAGGGGAAGAAGGAUUGGUAAGAGCUCCUUAUGUGGCAUCGGAUUGGCUUCUUCUAUUCCCACGAAAGGGUGAAACUCUUUCUUCGUCGAUGUUCUUCUCCCGAUCCGUCCUUGCAAUAGAUGAAUAUUUCGUAGUCCUAUGAUACUUACUCUGUCCCACGAGGAGAGGAGAAUAGACACAAGUGUUCUGCCUAAUAAAAUGUUCUGUUUUUUCAAGAAAUCUAGGGAUUUAGUUCUGUGUCUUCUUCUUUAACCAGUAUUUGGAAGUGGUACUGGAUACGACCUCUUUCAGGUCUUUCAUUUGAGGCCAAUGUGUUUUGUUAACAUCAUUUCCGAUGAGUUCUACGCCGCUUGGAAAGAUCGGAUUUUGCUUCUCGGCUCCGUCUCCGUGGAGAGCGAAGGUAGUAGUGAAUCUGCUUCAUCCUCGCGUUUGUGUGGAUGUCUGAAGGGUGAUGGUGAUGGUGAUGGUGAUUCAAAGGUUAGUCUUUUACGGGUUGGUUCGUUCCAGCGCGAGCGUUGUGAUUCUGUUUUUAAGUUUAGUUAUGUACAAAGGAUGAUGAGUUGUCUGUGGGGGAUGGAAGAAGGGGAAAGAGACGAGCUUGAUGUGAUCGUGUGUGUUGAAGUUAUGUGAGGCACUUCUCUGUUUGCAUAAGGAUUUAUGUGAUAUUUGUAGAGUGUUUGAGCGUUUCCUGUGUGAAGUUUGACGACUUUGGGAAUGCUUUUGUUGAUUUGAUUGAGUUGCUGGAAACUGGAAGGAACGUGUAUGGACUCAUAUAUCUGAAGAAACUUGCAGUUCAUCUUGAACUCCCAACAGCUCGUGGAAGCCUUGUCUCUUUGCGAUGAUCUCUUACAGGACAGAGAUGAGAACACAAACAAUGGAGGAGGCUCAAGGAACAAUCUUUCUUCACAUAUUUUUCUAUGUUGUUUCUUCACAUUUCUUAACUUAUUUCUUCUAAAUUGUUUCUUUACAUUUUUUAACUACCGAGAGAGAUACUCUAUAUUGUUUUUUCACAUUUCUUAACUUUUUUGAAAGACAACGAGAACAAGGACACAUUCAGUUA